rnacentral:rRNA from 1 species
GGUAAGGCCCUUCGGGGUACACGAGCGGCGAACGGGUGAGUAACACGUGGGUGAUCUGCCUCGCACUCUGGGAUAAGCCUGGGAAACUGGGUCUAAUACCGGAUAGGACCUUCGGUCGCAUGGCCUUGGGUGGAAAGAUUUAUCGGUGUGAGAUGGGCCCGCGGCCUAUCAGCUUGUUGGUGGGGUAAUGGCCUACCAAGGCGACGACGGGUAGCCGGCCUGAGAGGGCGACCGGCCACACUGGGACUGAGACACGGCCCAGACUCCUACGGGAGGCAGCAGUGGGGAAUAUUGCACAAUGGGCGAAAGCCUGAUGCAGCGACGCCGCGUGAGGGAUGACGGCCUUCGGGUUGUAAACCUCUUUCGACAGGGACGAAGCGCAAGUGACGGUACCUGUAGAAGAAGCACCGGCCAACUACGUGCCAGCAGCCGCGGUAAUACGUAGGGUGCGAGCGUUGUCCGGAAUUACUGGGCGUAAAGAGCUUGUAGGCGGUUUGUCGCGUCGUCCGUGAAAACUUGGGGCUCAACCCCAAGCUUGCGGGCGAUACGGGCAGACUUGAGUACUUCAGGGGAGACUGGAAUUCCUGGUGUAGCGGUGAAAUGCGCAGAUAUCAGGAGGAACACCGGUGGCGAAGGCGGGUCUCUGGGAAGUAACUGACGCUGAGAAGCGAAAGCAUGGGUAGCGAACAGGAUUAGAUACCCUGGUAGUCCAUGCCGUAAACGGUGGGCGCUAGGUGUGGGUUUCCUUCCACGGGAUCCGUGCCGUAGCUAAC